AAUAAGUCUCAGGAAGGUACCAAGGAAUGUCAGUAGUGGGAGGUGGGCAAAAUCAGGAUGCUGAUGACAUCUCAUUAACUUGUGGUACACAAGCUCACUGUUCUCCGAGUCAAGAAUCCUCUACUCUUGACAGAAGGGCACAAUGUAGUUAAUUAACGGGACUGCUAUUCUGGAAAGCAACAUGUAGGCAUACACUGUGACGGAAUCCCUCUGAGACACACGAAGAGAAACGACAUUUAAAUUCCCAUCAGAAAUCCUAAACGAAUGAAAUGGGGAAGAGGAGAACGAGUGUAAGCAAAGUUUGCCUGCAGAAAAACACCUUUUCUGAGCUUCCGGGUAGUCAGCUACCAGAAAGCUCUUCUGAAGGAUUCUUUACCUGCCGCCCAGAAAUCCAACCAAGAAAAGUUGAAGUGAAUAAUUGUAAAUCAUGGAGGUACUAGCAAGUGUCAACCAUGCCAGGUUUCCCCUCCGUGUUGUGAGUAAGAUUUGAUGAAAAAAAAAAAAAAACAGAUGGAAGCACAAUGUAGAGUACUAGGCUAAGAGAAUGACAGACAGCUUCAGUCACAUCUACUGCAGGAAUCUUUUAAUCCUAUGCAGAUGCACGCCCUUUUCCUAGCACAUACUCACACUCUACUAAGCCCAAAGUCACUAUGUCCUAAUGCUUUUCUGCUGAGGGCUAUUGUUUUUUUUGCAGCUAGUCACCAGAAUUGUCAACCCUGUAACUGCCUACUCCAAGAGAUUUAAAUAUAUUGUUUAAAAUACUCAA